rnacentral:rRNA from 2 species
UUCCGGUUGAUCCUGCCGGAGGCCACUGCUAUCGGGGUUCGACUAAGCCAUGCGAGUCGUAUGUUCCCCUUCGGGGGAGCAUGGCGCACUGCUCAGUAACACGUGGAUAACCUACCCUUGGGACAGGGAUAACCCCGGGAAACUGGGGAUAAUACCUGAUAGACCAUGGAGGCUGGAAGGCGCCAUGGUUCAAAGGGGCAACCGCCCGCCCAAGGAUGGGUCUGCGGCCUAUCAGGUUGUAGUGGGUGUAACGCACCUACUAGCCUACGACGGGUACGGGCUGUGGGAGCAGGAGCCCGGAGAUGGAUUCUGAGACAUGAAUCCAGGCCCUACGGGGUGCAGCAGGCGCGAAAACUUUACAAUGCGGGAAACCGUGAUAAGGGAACCUCGAGUGCCGAUGCAUAGCAUCGGCUGUCCAGAUGCCUAAAAAGCAUCUGAUAGCAAGGGCCGGGCAAGACCGGUGCCAGCCGCCGCGGUAACACCGGCGGCUCGAGUGGUGGCCACUUUUAUUGGGUCUAAAGCGUCCGUAGCCGGCUUGGCAAGUCCCCUGGGAAAUCUGGCGGCUUAACCGUCAGGCGUCCAGAGGAUACUGCCAGGCUUGGGACCGGGAGAGGUGAGAGGUACCUCAGGGGUAGGGGUGAAAUCUUGUGAUCCCUGAGGGACCACCAGUGGCGAAGGCGUCUCACUAGAACGGGUCCGACGGUCAGGGACGAAAGCUGGGGGCACGAACCGGAUUAGAUACCCGGGUAGUCCCAGCCG